rnacentral:lncRNA from 1 species
GCUAAGUGUUGUCUUUAAUCUUCAUCUUAUUUUCUCUAAGAUUUGUGGUGGGAGUUUCGUUUCUAACACGAUCUAGUGCGUAUCUUGAAAUCGUUUCUCUGUUUGUAGUCUUGCUCACUGGUUAAUCACUAUGAUACUGUUAUGUUUUUAUUCUUAUCGAAAUAAUGUUCAUGCUUCGUUAUGUGUUUGAAGGGUACCGAAUGAGUUGUGUCGUUGUACAUUUAGUUGUUUUUGAACAUAAACUUAAGCUUGAGUUUGUGUUCUUUAAAGCAUGUUCAAAGAUCUGUUUACAUCCCAUUUCGGGAGAAAAUGCCUUAUAUCCGUCCUAAGCUGUCACAUGUUGCUCACUG